GCCAGGAGAGGGUGACAAAGUGAGGGGGGUGACAGCCAGGAGAGGGUGACAAAGUGAGGGGGGUGACAGCCAGGAGAGGGUGGCAUCCAUGCUUGGUGUGCUGAAUGUGGGGGACUGUGGGGGCGGGCAGACGUGAUGAUACGGUGACAGAUAACAGGUGACAUGGUCACACAGUGACAGGUGACAGGUGACACAGUGACAGGUAACAGAUGACAGGUACCAGGUGACAGGUGACAUCCUUAGGGCACAGCCACGGCUCCGUGUGCUGUGUGUGGGGACAUUGGGGACAGGGGGAUGUGCUGAGGCAGUGGCAGGGUGACACAGUGACAGGUGACAGGUGCCAGGUACCAGGUGACAGGUACCAGGUGACAGGUGACAGGUACCAGGUGACAGGUGACAGGUGGCAUCCUUAGCGCGCAGCCACGGCUCCGUGGGACAUUGGGGACAGGGAGAUGUGCUGAGGCAGUGGCAGGGUGACACGGUGACAGGUGACAGGUGACAGGUGACAGGUGACAUCCUUAGCGCGCAGCCACGGCUCCGUGGGACACUGGGGACAGGGGGAUGUGCUGAGGCAGUGGCAGGGUGACAUGGUCACACAGUGACACAGUGACAGGUGACACAGUGACAGGUGACAGGUGGCCUCCUUAGCGCGCAGCCACGGCUCCGUGGGACACUGGGGACAGGGGGAUGUGCUGAGGCAGUGGCAGGGUGACACAGUGACAGGUGACAGGUACCAGGUGAUAGGUGCCAGGUACCAGGUGACAGGUGACAGGUGGCCUCCUUAGCGCGCAGCCACGGCUCUGUGGGACAUUGGGGACAGGGGGAUGUGCUGAGGCAGUGGCAGGGUGACAUGGUCACACAGUGACACAGUGACAGGUGACACAGUGACAGGUGACAGGUACCAGGUGACAGGUGACAGGUGGCCUCCUUAGCGCGCAGCCACGGCUCUGUGGGACAUUGGGGACAGGGGGAUGUGCUGAGGCAGUGGCAGGGUGACACAGUGACAGGUGACAGGUGGCCUCCUUA